GUAAAGCUCGUAGUUGGAUUUCUGUUGAGGACGACUGGUCCAAACCACGUUUGCGCAUCUAGUCUGGCCUCAGCAUCCUCUCGAAAAACGUUUCUGUGCUUGAUUGCAUGGUGCGGGGUUCGGGACUUUUACUUUGAGGAAAUUAGAGUGUUCACGGCAGGCUAUCGCCCGAAUACAUUAGCAUGGAAUAAUACUAUAGGAUCUCGAUUCUAUUUUGUUGGUUUCUAGAAGCGAGAUAAUGAUUAAUAGGGACAACUGGGGGCAUUCGUAUUAACACGUCAGAGGUGGAAUUCUUGGAUUGUGUUACGACGAACUACUGCGAAAGCAUUUGCCAAGGAUGUUUUCAUUGAUCAAGAACGAAAGUAAGGGGAUCGAAGACGAUUAGAUACCGUCGUAGUCUUUACCAUAAACUAUGCCAACUAGAGAUGGGUCAUCGUUCACUUCAGACUUGAUCCGAACCUUAUGAGAUAUCAAAGUUUUUGGGUUCCGGGGGGAGUAUGGUCGCAAGGCUGAAACUUAAAGGAAUUGACGGAAGGGCACCACCAGGAGUGGAGCCUGUGGCUUAAUUUGACUCAACACGGGAAAUCUCACCAGGCCCGGACACUGGAAGGAUUGACAGAUUGAUAGCUCUUUCUUGAUUCGGUGGGUGGUGGUGCAUGGCCGUUCUUAGUUGGUGGAGUGAUUUGUCUGGUUAAUUCCGAUAACGAACGAGACUCUGUCCUGCUAAAUAGUGUUAUCUUCUUUUUUGAGAUGACAAUUCUUCUUAGAGGG
rnacentral:rRNA from 1 species